AACGCGAAGAACCUUACCUGGGCUAGACAACGGCGGACAGCCUGAGAAAUCAGGUCUUCCCUUCGGGGACUGCCGGUUCAGGUGUUGCAUGGCUGUCGUCAGCUCGUGUCGUGAGAUGUUGGGUUAAGUCCCGCAACGAGCGCAACCCUCAUCCCUAGUUGCCACCGGGUAAUGCCGAGCACUCUAGUGAAACCGCCCCGGAUAACGGGGAGGAAGGUGGGGAUGACGUCAAGUCCUCAUGGCCUUUAUGUCCAGGGCUACACACGUGCUACAAUGGUCGGUACAAACCGUCGCAAAGCUGCAAAGUGGAGCUAAUCGGAAAAAGCCGGCCUCAGUUCGGAUUGGAGUCUGCAACUCGACUCCAUGAAGCUGGAAUCGCUAGUAAUCGCAGAUCAGAACGCUGCGGUGAAUACGUUCCCGGGCCUUGUACACACCGCUACAGU
rnacentral:rRNA from 1 species